rnacentral:lncRNA from 1 species
CGAUGAUUGAUAUUGAGGUCGAUGAAUGAGUUUCCUAGUUGGCCGUCGAGAGCUCAUGAUGCUAUCUGAGAGAUAUUUCUAGUAAGUCAAAAGUAUUUUAUUUUUAAAUUUAUGGUAGAUUUAUAUUUUAUUUAUUAAUACUUGUUUGCUUCUAUUUAGAGGAGUACUACUGAUUCGAGACUCCUCAAGAUAAGGAGGCUGGGCAUCGGAUCUUCGAGGAGGUGGCCAUAUGUAGGCUCCAAGAUGGGCUGUACAGCCUUAGGCAGUCCAUCAUAGAGCACUUUAGUUAUGAGUCACCAUCAGACUGAAAGUCUUAUUAGAUCACUGGAUGUGGAUGGACAUAUGGGAGGCCUUCUAUAAUCGAUGGAGUACUGAGGAGUACUCUGGUAGGCA